UAGGGAAUAUUAGUAAUGGGCGAAAGCCUGAACUAGCAACGCCGCGUGUGCGAAGAAGGCCUUCGGGUUGUAAAGCACUUUUUGAGAGGAUGAGGAAGGACGGUACUCUCAGAAUAAGUCUCGGCUAACUACGUGCCAGCAGCCGCGGUAACACGUAGGAGGCGAACGUUAUCCGGAUUUACUGGGCGUAAAGCGCGUGUAGGUGGUUUAGUAAGUAGGGCGUGAAAGCUCCUGGCUCAACUGGGAGAGGCCGUUCUAAACUGCCGUACUAGAGGAUGGCAGAGGGAGGUGGAAUUCCGGGUGUAGCGGUGGAAUGCGCAGAUAUCCGGAGGAACACCAGUGGCGAAAGCGGCCUCCCGGACCACUCCUGACACUCAGACGCGAAAGCUAGGGUAGUAAACGG
rnacentral:rRNA from 1 species